GGCACACAAACGCACCUGAUUGCAAUGCCAAUCAGUGUUGAAAAUGAUAUUCCAGCUCCUCAAAUGUUCAUGAUUUGAAAUAUUGCUCAGCCAUAAAUAACUUUUUAAUAAAAAUAUAACUCAUUAUUUCUAAUAGAAACAUUGCCUAUGUUUCCCCAGCAGAAGAGAUUUCCUCCCGCGGCGUUCAGGUAUUGUCAUUUGGCGCCCUCUAACGGUGUAACUCAUCAACUGCCAAACGUGUUUUUUUGUUUUUGUUUUUUUUUCUUUCUUUGAAUCAAUUUGAGCUUUGAUGCCUGGUGACAUAUUGGUCGGCACGUCUGCCGCACAGUUUCCAGGUUCUAAUAUACGCUGCCGGCCCGACUGUGGGCAUUUUGCACGUUCUCUCCAUGCAAAAGGGUUAACCUCUGUGAGACAUUCACAUGUUCAACUUAAUUUUCCCGAGGUAGCGUCGUAAAACACAGGAUGUUAAAAAAAUCAGGGUUUAAAUGUUGGGAGGUGAUUUUGAACUCCCAUGAGUUAUUCGUAACGUUGAACAAUUUUUGGAGUUUAAACGAUGCCCAGAGUAGGGCUUAUUUCACAGUUGCUCACAUGGUCUUAGAGGAACUAUUCGGUUUUGUUGGAACCGGAGGAGAUAAAGUGUGGGAAAGCGUUCACAGAUGGAUGGAGCUGACCGUCUGUUUGAAAAAUGAAGUCUCAAACAGGUAAGAACACAAUCCUGUCACAGCCAUAUAUUUAGAAACAAAGUAGCUGUUUUCAAAAGGCUACGGUUUUAUUCUUUAAAUGCAGGCUGCGUUUUAUUGCACUCAGUUUAGUGCCCAGAUAAUGGGCACCUUAUAUGCGUUCCAUUUGGCUUUUAAUUUUUUUUUUCGAAUCCUCAAAAAAAAAAAAAAAAAAAAAAGACAAAUUUGGAUUUCUUUAUUUUCAUCAAAGCAAUGAAACAACUCGUUUUGUAAUGAAGCUAAACUUGAGGCGGCAUCGUACAGUAGCAGUCACGUUGUACAUUUAUGGCAAAAGCUGCGGAAUCCAAACUUUUUGAGCUAAUAUUUAUCGAAAUGUACUUGAAAAUAUCAUUCAAAUGAAAGACUUCCAUUGUGUGUAAAGACCCAAAACAAUUUUGUUUCAGAAAUAAAUAUAGGGUACCCUCACUUGAUCUGACUGGGAUGGUAAAGAAAGUUGACCAAUCACGAGGUUUCCAGGUAGUGGAGGGACGCAAAAAUCUGCAUUGCAUCGAACCUUCCUUUUUUUUUUUUUUUUUUUUUCCUCGAGUUACACUGUGUUUGUGUGUGUGUGUGUGUGUGUGUGUGUGUGUGUGUGUGAGAGAGAGAGAGAGAGAAAGGGGGGUUCAAUUAAAAAAAAAAUAAUAAGGCUCUCGCUAAAGAAGAAAAAAAGGACAAAUUACUCGUCUAUAUAUAAAGAUGUGGUGGGGGCACAGAAUAGCAAAAGGAAGUCCAAAGAGGGAGAGGAAAAAAAAACAGUGGAACCCUGAUUUGAAUUUGAACUGAACUUGCACUUUUCCAUGCAGUUGUCCAAUGUUCCAACGUUUCAUUGGUCUCUUUUUUUUUUUUUUUUUUUUUGCUGGGCGGGGCUAUCAUUUAGUGCAGGUGCGGACAUUGUGUGUGUGUGUGUGGGGGGGCACUCAACGCUAAUCACUCCCAGCUGCUCUCAUGUCAACCCCUUCCGGGUCAGCCACUGCCUGACUUAAUGCCUUUUUGCCAUUUGGUAGCUCAGUUUGUGUCCAAGCCAAGGAAUGGACGCCUGUGGCAAGAGAGAAGGCCUCACUGCGUCGAAAACGAUGAUUUGUGAGGAGUAAGAGUCGAGCAUUGGCACAUGAAUUGCAGAGAUUCUUCGCACGUGUCCUGUGGGUGAAAGAAGUCCCCAAUUGACUUUAUAAGUAGAAGCAGCUUCGAAGUUGUUCUUUUUGUCAGAGCUGACGUGUUCAAUGAAAGAAUAGUAGUCCGGCCAACUUGGUCAAAGUAAGGUGCCUUUUUAUUUUCUGUUGGUUUGUGGUUUCCGCCUCUCCUUUGAGGGUUCAUGAUGUGAUGUUUGGGCGCAAACAGGCGGUUUCCAAUUACGCCAUCUUGUGUUUCUUAGAGGUCAGAGAGUACAGGUGAUGGGUGAAGCACGAUUUUUUUUUUUUUUUUUUUUUUUUUUUUUUCUCCCCCAUCGUUAAUUUAUCCGAUUAGUCUAAGGGUGACGGCAACUUCAUUAGAAAGCUAUCCAUUGGCGUGUGGGAGGUUGCACCGGGCACUAUGGCAGGCGUCUGUUGGUAUCGGGAGGAGUCUCCUUGGAUUUGUUUUACAGCCAGUUCCGAAACACCUCCAAAGAUUUGAAGCUCUCAAGUGUAUACAUUCGCUGACUAGUAGUCACUGGAAGUGCUCCACAUGUCACGCAUUUUGAGUGGGGGCGGACCCCCCAUUUUAGUUUUUUUAUUUUUUCUUUCUUUUUUUCUUCCCCCAACUAUCAAAUAUACACCAUUGGGGGGGAAAAACACCUUGUCAUGCAGGAUCUUCCCCAGGCUGUGGAAAAUUCUUCCUCCGUGUGAGACGAGUGAAUGAAGUUUGGCUUUUUGCCUGACUUAAGUGCACCAAUGUGCAAUCUGGUCUGUUUUUGGGAUCCUAUCACAUUUACAAAACAAUUUACAGACUACAAUAAUUUUACAAUUCUGAGAUUCAAAAGUAAGUUACUUAUUCAUUUAACAUUAUCCCCCCUCGGUAAGGUUUGUAAUGCUGACCAAGCAGUAGAUGGCAGCGUAAAGCAGAGUCGAACUGCAUACUUUCCAAAUGAGCAAAUGCAUUACUUUAUCACCGACUUUUAAAAGGUAAAUGAUAGCUAUAAGCUGUUCAUAACUUUAAUGUACAGAGUCUCUGAAGAGUUAAAGCUUUUGAUUUUGGGAGCCAUAGUGACAUUUCAGUGUUUUGCAAAUUUUGUGGCUUCAGGCUGUAGUCUAAGUGUGUUCCUGUUAGCAUUACAAUCGGCUCCUCCAAAGCACUCGAUUCUAGCUUCAGCAGACAGACUCAAAUUCACUUAUGUAGCUUUUUAAUGCUCUUUUUAAUGUUUGAAUGUUAGUUUUCUUGCUUGUCUUUGUGAAUAAUUUGUUCGACUUCUUUACUCGAAGAAAAGAACUGAGCAAUGUAGGUUUGGGCGGCCGGAGGUCCAAUCCGGGCUCUGACUUUUUUUUUUUUUUUUUUUUUUUUUCUCUUCCCUCUUUUCCAAACCUCGAACAUGGGCAUCGGCAACCCGCUGCUCUCUAGCGCUGACCUACUGGCUCCCUGGAGCUUUUUCAAAAAAUGUUUGAAAAUGAAAAAAGAUGGUGGGGGGGGGGAGUUAGAAAUAUAUUUCUUUUUAUUAUGUGUCUGUAGGUGGACAAAUGUUUUCAAAUUCUGUAAGAAUGUGUGGCAUAAGUAUUCAAUUUCAACAUUUCUGUCAAGGAAGAUUUGCAUCAUAGCCUGCGACAAGUUUUGAUCAGGGCAGGUAAACAAACCGGUGGCUGUGUGAUGGGCCAUGGAUCCCAAGGGUGAAAAAGAGAAAAAUUACCGAGAACAGAGGAUUCAAUGUUUUUGGAACGAAUCAUUUGCAUUCAUUGACAAUGCAGAAGAAUUGCCUGAAUGUUUGCUUUUGUAGCGAGAGGUUGUCAAAUAACAGUAAUGUGGAAAGGCAUUUGCAGGGAAGGCAUGUUAAAUUUGCAGCAGAGUACCCAGUUGCGAAAAAGUCCAAUUGCAUUACAUAUGGAAAAAUUAGGAGCGCAGAAAUUUAAGUGAAUUGCAUUUCCAAACGCCACGGAUGCUGCAAGUUUUUGUUGAAACCUGGGAGGAGCUAAAGCGUGAAAAACCGUUCAGAUGGCUGGAGCUGACCAGUGAUGUCUUAAACGGGUAAGAACACAAUCCUGUCAUAGGCAUGUAUUCAGUGACAGUUUUUUUUUUCUUUUUUGUAAUACACGCAGACUGCAUGUUAUUGCACUGUUUAGUGCCCAGAUAAUGAGCACGUUAUGCGUGUUCUCCCUCCCCCCUUAUCCUGAAAAUAAAAAUGACAUAGAAUCACUAGCCCUUCAUUUCAGCAAAGCAAUGAAACAUAAUGUAAUGAAGUUAAACUUGAGGCGGCAUCGCACAACAGCAGUCAUGUAGUGCAUUGUUCUCUACAGAAUGAAAAUAAACGAAUGCUCAUUGUUUGAAGCAAACUUAGUCAUUUUGAUAGUAGGCUAAUGUAGCUACUACAGUAAGUUUCCUUCAUUAUUUUAUUUAUUUAUUUUUUUUGCAGCUCAAAAUGUAUUCAGUAUGGCUUUCAACAUUUUGGGAUGCCGACCCUUGCGCUAACAAAUGGUGCCAUGACCCGGAUUCUUAAAUAAAUCUGUGGUGAGAUGAGCUGAGACAUAAAAAAACUGCACCGGAAUAAAGGUAA